AGGGAAAAUUGGUGGAUUUCAAGGAAUUAAGCAAGUAAAGGCGGUGAGUCUUCUAACAAUGGUAAAGAGAUUGUACCCGAAGACCGAGACUAGGAGUACUUUGACUCCCGAUAUUCUUACUGCUGUGGGCGAGUUUCUGUGGACCAGCCUAUUAGAGGGGCACGAUAAACCCCGUUAUAUUUACCUUAGUAUGAGAGGCAC